ACACAUUUAAAGUAUUCAGUGAUCGAUCCUUUUGGGUGUUUAUGUUCUUGUCUGAGAUAUUCCUCCCACAAAUCUUAUUAUGACUUUGGCACAUUACACAUCUCACC